AGAAAAAUUUUAGGUUAAAAUCGGGUAUCAGUUUAAGACUAUAAGGUCCAGGUCCAGCCAAUGGAUGCAGGACACAGUGGCUAUCAAAGCAAGAAAAAUUGCAAAGACAAGUCAUUGUUUUCUACGUAAAGAUAAAAAGCUGUUUCAUGCAUAAAUUCAAGAAAAUUGAGAGUAUCCUGUUCUAUCUGCAUAAUGUGGCAUUGAGCAAGAUACACAACAGGAUAGACAAGGGAGAGCAAGAAGUCAAAGAGAUUGAAGCAUGAGAAGAACUCAACUUGCCUUACUGACUUUGGAUGUGGUGAAAGAGGGCUGCAAGCUAAAGAUUAUGACAACAUCUAGAACCGAGAAUGGCCCCUGACUAAGAGACAGCAAUGAAAUGGAGACCUCAGCUCUAAAAGUACAUGGAAUUGAAUUCUGCCAAUAAGCUUCAGAAGUUCAGUUACUAGGAACCCACCUUUAAGGAAUGCAGAGAACCCUGACUUCUGGCAAGUCUUGUAAAUGUAGCAAGAUGGUGUCUGCCUGAAUGGACAUUUCUACAUUAUUCUGGAAAGUAUAUUCAACACCUAGUGAGAUUUCAUUACUCUUUAUGGAAUAAGAACACAAGCUAAUUUUCAAUUCUACAUUGCAUCACGAAGAAGUACUAAUUGGACAUGGAUGCACAUACGAUGGAAAUCUCAGGGGCCAGAGACCUGGGCUGGAGCAAAUUGUGGUCUGGAUAUGAUUAACUCUAGAAAAUCUCAACUGUGGUUGCCGUCAUAAUUCCUAAUACCUGUAGUAUAAAAAAACUUUAUAAUAUCUGACUAUUUGGCAACCUCAAUGUUAAAUCUAAAGUUUGAGCAUGAGGUGGACCUAGUCAUGAACUUUUCACAGGUUGGGGUAAAUGAUAAGGAGAAACAUUUCUAGUAAAAAUACUAAAGCCCACAUCUGCUCUUUUCAGUUCCCACUUUCAACAAUCUAAUUCACUCUCUUGUCAACUGUAGCUUAAAUGAAUAAUACUGAUCUCCACAUCUCAAGUUUAAUGUCUAUCCAUUUUAUCUCUCACACUGCUUCCAAAAUAUUUUUUGUAAAAUAAUACUUUUGUCCAGCUUACUAGAAAAAAAUCUUAAAGAGCCCAUUAAUAACGGAGUAUAUACUUGCAUUCAAAAACCUCCACAGUCAGGCACCUAUAUACCAUUUCAAUGUUAAUUUCUUCUCCUCACUUGCACACAAUUUCCAAUCUAGUUUAACUGGGCUCCCACUGAUAUAAAUACAUGUUAAUGCCUUAGGUUCACAGUGUUAAUUAUUUUCCUCCUAAUUCUGCAAACAUCUUCUAUAAAUUUAAACUUUAUCCUUUCUCAAAAUCCAGUUUAGAGCCCCCAUUUAACCGCAACUAUCUGUGAAAUACUUAAUGCCAAAACAUCCAUUUCUUGUCUGUUUCUCCAGAAAACAGCUUUAAAUUGCCUAAGCCUCCUCUUUGCUUGCCAGUAGUUACAAAUUUUGUAUCUUCUAGGUGAGUUGAUGUGUUGAUUAAACUUUUUACAUGUACAUUUACCUCCUCCACAUUAA